CGGGUCUUGGGCUCAGAAUCCUUGCAAGUGAUGGGAUUGUCCUCAGUAAUGAAAGCUCAAUCCCCCCAGUCGCAAGGACUCUGACGUACAAGUUUG